GGUAGGAUGGCUGAGUUUUAAGUGGUGGGUUGUAACCCCGCCAACAGAGGUUUGAGUCCUCUUCUUACCA
rnacentral:tRNA from 1 species